GCAAAAUUCAACCCCAGGAUGUCUCUCCCCCGAGCGGGCGUCUGUGGUGGGUUGAUCUGAACCUGUUCUGAGGACAGAGCCAGAGGGAUUCGUGGUGUCUCUUGGGAAAAGCCCGCCAGGGACCUCAACCCCUAUCCAGGGAGAACCGUUUCUUUGCAGCAGCUGACACCAGAAGGCUAACCGAGGUGGAUCCUUGCUCUUGAAACUUGACUUCUUCACCACCUGUUCCAGAAAGGGCCUGCUCUCGUCAGCUUCCUGACAAGCACCCGUCCUGUGGCUCCACCCUGAACGCCGCUCCUCGGACUCCAAUCCAGGGGAGCUGGGGCUUCUGUCUUCGAGAUGGAGAUCCAGGUGGUUGAAAAGAGCCCUCUGCGUCUUCAGAUGGUGGACUUCGGCAGUCCCUGGUUCUGGUUCUUCCCAUCCCCUGGUAGAGACACCUUCCUGCUCCUACAGGUCCCUAGGUGUGGUUGGAGGGAGCCUGGGGGCACACCCAUGUGGGAACCGCGGGCGGUGGGGUCGCCCCUUGGGCUCCCGGGAAGCAGAGCCUGAGGCAGGGGUUCUCGUGCAGGCACCACAUCCGGGAGAGCUCCCUGGAGCAGCUGGAGAGGCAGUGCAGGCAGAGAAGAAGCGGAGGUCUCAGCUACUGUCUACCUCAGCCGGGUCCCAUGAGGAAGGGCCCUGGAGUGUAAAGGGCCCCAGGUGCGAGGCGAGGCCUUGGAACCCCCUCGUCCGUCAGUCGUGGGCUGUGGGGUGCCCUUGUGGUGGGUGGGGAGGCUCCCCUAGUCAAGGACAUGUUUCCAGAGAAGGGGCGGUAGUCUUAGGAAGUGUGCUGGGAAACCAGCUUUCCAGGCGUGGGAGGACCAAAGUCCUGCUAUGUAGCUUUUACCAUUUCUGUGGUGUCAGUACUCCCUCCGUGGCCGAUUUCAAAGCUACCGGUGGUGUUAACAACUGGCCCACAAAAUUCCUGGCUAUUUGACAGCUGGCUCUCCUAGGCCAGGAGGAGCUGGCCCUGCACGGCCUCGCCGCAGCUGGAGGGAGUAGGGGGUCCCGGCGGCACCAGGACAGCGUCCCUUCGGCUGGGUCCCCACAGCGGCCUUCCUGCUUCCUCUCGCAGCCCUGGAACCUUUCCUUCCACCACAAGCACCUUGCUCCCACAGCUCCAGCGUGCCACCCGUGAAUCAAAUCAAGGCUCCCUGUCACCUCCAGGAUAAAGUCCCCUCUGCACCUUGGUCCCCAGAGCUCUGCCCCGCUGACACUCACCAACCUGCCCAGCCCCAUCUCGGCCACUCCCAGCCUCGCGGGCCUCCCACCCGGCCACUCUGGACUCUCUUCCAUCCUUAAAGUCUUGACUCUCCUUCAUUGCCAGGCCUUGCAGCUCCUCCCCACGCAGCUCUGCUGGCCAGGAAUGCCAUUUCCCUGCCCCGUCGGCCUAGCCCAACCAGCUUCUAUGCAGCUUUGCUGGAACGUCUUUCUCGUUCGUGAGCAGGGUGUUCAGGACUUGCUCAUCUUCUGCACCGGACCAGCUACUCCUCGACCAUGAAGACUUUGCUCGGCUUCAAUAUGCCCAAGCCCGUGGCACCCAGCAUGGGACCUCAACGUAGGUGAAUGAAUGAAUGAACUAUUCAGUCCAUCAAGAAUUUUUAAUGAAUGAGUCCUCAAGCCACUGGCCCAGUAUAACAAAUGUCAUGCAUUUGUCUGUCCCCCUCUGCUCUGGAGGACUCUGUUCUGGGGACCUGAGAAUGCAGGAGUGGCAUGGAGCUCACAGCUGUCCAGGUGCAGCCGCCCCAUGCACCUGCGGCUCCCUGUGUAUGGCUCCAUUUACCCCCCUCACGGCUAGUCUGGGGGAAGACAGAGCACUGCCCCAUUUUAGAGACAGGGACGUUGAGGAGGUCAAGAAAUUAAAUCACUUGCUCAGGGCCACAUGACUUCUCAAUAGCGAGAGUUUGACAUCUUGUCUUCCAACCAACAGGGGGUCCUUGGCCUUUUUCUACAUCACGCCGGAGCAAUGGCUCAUCAUCUUACCUGCAGCUCUGGUUCCGCAGGGCGGCUGUGUCUUUCUCUGUUGAAAUGUGUCCUUUCCCCGAGCAUUUGUUUGCUUUCUUUCUUUAUCCCUCUUCUAACCAGUGUUAAGUGGACGUCUUUGUGUCCACCCAGUGGCAUCCCUGGGCUGGCUAGAAAGAGGAGAGGGGAACAGAUUGCAGUUCACACCUUGAAAGAUUUUGCAACUGAGCUUCUGGGCUUUUAAAGCAGUCACCUUUGUCCGGGCUCCUGGGAGGCUACCCCUCCUUCCUCAGGAUGCGCAGCCUCGUAGGGUGUCCUGGUGCACCUGUUGGCCAUCUGGGGCCAUGUGUUAUCAUCUUGACCUCCAGAGGGGUUGGAGACAGAAAGGUCAGCCACGCAGGCAGCCAACCAAGUCCAGUGGCUGAAUCCUGCUAAAAACCCUGGAUGCCGAGGCUCAGGGAGCAUCGCUGGUGGGCAGUACUCUCCGUGUGCUGUUACACCUCAUUGCUGGGAAAGGUUAACACGCUCCACGAUUCCACGGCGAGAGGACACCUGGAGGCACCCUGCUGGGACUCUCCCGGGCACUGUCCCCCGUGUCUCUCCUCUCGGCUGAUUUGCAUCUGUAUCCUUUGCUGUAAUAAAGUGUAACCAUG
rnacentral:lncRNA from 12 species